GCGUAGAAACUGCCCGGUAGUGGAGGAUAGCCCAGAGAAAUUUGGAUUAAUACUGCAUACGCUCUACGGAGGAAAGCGGGCUUCGGCUCGCGCUAUCGGAUGUGUCUGCGUGAGAUUAGCUAGUUGGUGAGGUAAUGGCUCACCAAGGCGACGAUCUCUAGCUGGUCUGAGAGGAUGAUCAGCCACACUGGGACUGAGACACGGCCCAGACUCCUACGGGAGGCAGCAGUGGGGAAUAUUGCACAAUGGGGGAAACCCUGAUGCAGCCAUGCCGCGUGUGUGAAGAAGGCCUCGGUUGUA
rnacentral:rRNA from 1 species